CCCUUAGAUGUUCUGGGCUGCACGCGCGCUACACUGAAGCGUUCAACGAGUAUUCACCUUGCCCGGGAGGGUUGGGUAAUCUUUUGAAAACGCUUCGUGAUGGGGAUAGAUUAUUGCAAUUAUUAAUCUUCAACGAGGAAUUCCUAGUAAGCGCGAGUCAUCAGCUCGUGCUGAUUACGUCCCCGCCCUUUGUACACACCGCCCGUCGCUCCUACCGAUUGAAUGGUCCGGUGAAGCGUUCGGACCGUGGCCUUUGGACGGUUCGCCGUCUGUUGGCUGCGGGAAGUUCGUUAAACCUUAUCAUUUAGAGGAAGGAGAAGUCGUAACA
rnacentral:rRNA from 1 species